UACUAUGGCCGUACCACCCUGAACACACCCAUCUUGUCUGAUCUUAGAAGGGAAUCAGGGUUGGGCCCAAUUAGUACUUGAUUGGAAGAAAGCAAAUGCUUUUUAAAGUCAUAUAGGAU
rnacentral:rRNA from 1 species